UACGUAGGGCGCAAGCGUUAUCCGGAAUUAUUGGGCGUAAAGAGCUCGUAGGCGGUGUGUCGCGUCGGCCGUGAAAACCUGCAGCUUAACUGUGGGCUUGCGGUCGAUACGGGCAUCACUGGAGUUCGGCAGGGGAGACUGGAAUUCCUGGUGUAGCGGUGAAAUGCGCAGAUAUCGGGAGGAACACCGGUGGCGAAGGCGGUUCUCUGGGCCUUACCUGACGCUGAGGAGCGAAAGCGUGGGGAGCGAACAGG
rnacentral:rRNA from 1 species